CGACACACUAUCGUUAACUGAAUACAUAGGUUAACGAGGCGAACCGGGGGAACUGAAACAUCUAAGUACCCCGAGGAAAAGAAAUCAACCGAGAUUCCCCCAGUAGCGGCGAGCGAACGGGGAGCAGCCCGGAGUCUGAAUCAGCUUGUGUGUUAGUGGAACGGUCUGGAAAGUCCGACGGUACAGGGUGAUAGUCCCGUACACGAAAAUGCACAUGCUGUGAACUCGAAGAGUAGGGCGGGACACGUGGUAUCCUGUCUGAAUAUGGGGGGACCAUCCUCCAAGGCUAAAUACUCCUGACUGACCGAUAGUGAACCAGUACCGUGAGGGAAAGGCGAAAAGAACCCCGGCGAGGGGAGUGAAAAAGAACCUGAAACCGUGUACGUACAAGCAGUGGGAGCACCUUCGGGUGUGACUGCGUACCUUUUGUAUAAUGGGUCAGCGACUUAUAUUCUGUAGCAAGGUUAACCGUAUAGGGGAGCCGAAGGGAAACCGAGUCUUAACUGGGCGUUAAGUUGCAGGGUAUAGACCCGAAACCCGGUGAUCUAGCCAUGGGCAGGUUGAAGGUUGGGUAACACUAACUGGAGGACCGAACCGACUAAUGUUGAAAAAUUAGCGGAUGACCUGUGGCUGGGGGUGAAAGGCCAAUCAAACCGGGAGAUAGCUGGUUCUCCCCGAAAGCUAUUUAGGUAGCGCCUCGUGAACUCAUCUUCGGGGGUAGAGCACUGUUUCGGCUAGGGGGCCAUCCCGGCUUACCAACCCGAUGCAAACUACGAAUACCGAAGAAUGUUAUCACGGGAGACACACGGCGGGUGCUAACGUCCGUCGUGAAGAGGGAAACAACCCAGACCGCCAGCUAAGGUCCCAAAGUCAUGGUUAAGUGGGAAACGAUGUGGGAAGGCACAGACAGCCAGGAUGUUGGCUUAGAAGCAGCCAUCAUUUAAAGAAAGCGUAAUAGCUCACUGGUCGAGUCGGCCUGCGCGGAAGAUGUAACGGGGCUAAACCAUGCACCGAAGCUGCGGCAGCGACACUAUGUGUUGUUGGGUAGGGGAGCGUUCUGUAAGCCGUUGAAGGUGUGCUGUGAGGCAUGCUGGAGGUAUCAGAAGUGCGAAUGCUGACAUAAGUAACGAUAAAGCGGGUGAAAAGCCCGCUCGCCGGAAGACCAAGGGUUCCUGUCCAACGUUAAUCGGGGCAGGGUGAGUCGACCCCUAAGGCGAGGCCGAAAGGCGUAGUCGAUGGGAAACAGGUUAAUAUUCCUGUACUUGGUGUUACUGCGAAGGGGGGACGGAGAAGGCUAUGUCAGCCGGGCGACGGUUGUCCCGGUUUAAGCAUGUAGGCGGAGGUUCCAGGUAAAUCCGGUACCUUGUUAACGCUGAGGUGUGAUGACGAGGCACUACGGUGCUGAAGUGAUAAAUGCCCUGCUUCCAGGAAAAGCCUCUAAGC
rnacentral:rRNA from 1 species